rnacentral:rRNA from 1 species
GGCCAGUGAAGCGGGAUGAGCUCAAGCUUAAAAUCUCCGUACAAGUUUUGUACGGCGAAUUGUAGUCUAUAGAGGCGUGGUCAGCGUGGGCUCUUGGGGCAAGUUCCUUGGAAAAGGACAGCAUGGAGGGUGAUACUCCCGUUCAUCUCCGAGUGGCUCGUGCGUACVACCCGUUUUCUUUGAGUCGCGUUGUUUGAGAAUGCAGCGCAAAGUAGGUGGUAAAUUCCAUCUAAAGCUAAAUAUUGGUGCGAGACCGAUAGCAUACAAGUACCGUGAGGGAAAGAUGAAAAGAACUUUGAAAAGAGAGUUAAAGAGUACCUGAAACUGCUGAAAGGGAACCGAAUCGUUUCCAGUGUCUAUAAUCUGUGGCAUAUUUCAUKGGCGAGUGUGUGCGUGCGUGUGCUGUGGCAGCGGCCUUUUGGCUGCGCWUGGCGUGUGUGGUGUGUGUGCYYGCUGGUGCCCUGUGCUGCGGUGGGACGUCAAUGUCAGUUCGUAUGCUGCGGGAAAUGGCUGCCGAGGAGGUAGGGCUUACGCUUGCGUUUGUCUGUUAUAUCUUGGUGGACGAGUCGUCGCGGUUGGGACUGAGGUGCCUACAACGUGCUUUUGAGUGGGUUUGUGUCUCCGUGUGUGCCGUGUGCGGAUAGCUUGCUAUGCGUGUGUGGUUAUGUGUGGAUUGAUAUGGGCUUUAACUUGUUGCC